AGAUUGAACGCUAGCGGGAUGCUUUACACAUGCAAGUCGAACGGCAGCGCGGACUUCGGUCUGGCGGCGAGUGGCGAACGGGUGAGUAAUAUAUCGGAACGUGCCCAGUAGCGGGGGAUAACUACGCGAAAGCGUGGCUAAUACCGCAUACGCCCUACGGGGGAAAGGGGGGAUCGCAAGACCUCUCACUAUUGGAGCGGCCGAUGUCAGAUUAGCUAGUUGGUGAGGUAAAGGCUCACCAAGGCGACGAUCUGUAGCUGGUUUGAGAGGACGACCAGCCACACUGGGACUGAGACACGGCCCAGACUCCUAACGGGAGGCAGCAGUGGGGGAAUUUUGGGAACAAAGUGGGGACGAAAAAGCCC
rnacentral:rRNA from 1 species